rnacentral:misc_RNA from 1 species
CAUUCUCAAAUCCAUGGAUUUAGUGUUGAGCAGUUUUGUCGACAAGACAAUUGCUUGAAAUGAAUUUUGGCAGAGGCGACUAUACAAGCUUUUACAACGUAUUAGGUUUUACCAUCUCGUUGGAAAUAUACGGCGAACAUAGUAGCUUUGGCGUUAUAACAAACUCAAAAA